rnacentral:ncRNA from 1 species
GGUCAAGCGACUAAGUGCAUCUGGUGGAUGCCUUGGCGAUCACAGGCGAUGAAGGACGUGUAAGCCUGCGAAAAGCGCGGGGGAGCUGGCAAUAGAGCUUUGAUCCCGCGAUAUCCGAAUGGGGAAACCCGGCCCUUAGGGGUCAUCCCAGACUGAAUACAUAGGUCUGAGGAGGCGAACUCAGCGAACUGAAACAUCUAAGUAGCUGAAGGAAAAGAAAUCAACCGAGAUUCCGUAAGUAGUGGCGAGCGAACGCGGAACAGCCUGUAUGUGAUAGAGAUUGCGUUAGUGGAAGGUUAUGGAAAGGACCGCCAUAGUGGGUGAUAGCCCCGUACACGAAAACGCAUUCUUGGUACUAAGCAUACGAGAAGUAGGGCGGGACACGCGAAAUCCUGUCUGAAGAUGGGGGGACCAUCCUCCAAGGCUAAAUACUCGUGAUCGACCGAUAGUGAACCAGUACCGUGAGGGAAAGGCGAAAAGAACCCCGGGAGGGGAGUGAAAUAGAACCUGAAACCGGAUGCAUACAAACAGUGGGAGCGGACGUGUUCCGUGACUGCGUACCUUUUGUAUAAUGGGUCAGCGACUUACGUUCAGUAGCGAGCUUAACCGAAUAGGGGAGGCGUAGGGAAACCGAGUCCGAAUAGGGCGCUUUAGUUGCUGGGCGUAGACCCGAAACCGAGUGAUCUAUCCAUGGCCAGGAUGAAGGUGCGGUAACACGCACUGGAGGUCCGAACCCACUAGUGUUGCAAAACUAGGGGAUGAGCUGUGGAUAGGGGUGAAAGGCUAAACAAACUCGGAGAUAGCUGGUUCUCCCCGAAAACUAUUUAGGUAGUGCCUCAUGUAUCACUUCCGGGGGUAAAGCACUGUUAUGGCUAGGGGUCAUUGCGAUUUACCAAACCAUGGCAAACUCUGAAUACCGGAAAGUGCGAGCAUGGGAGACAGACGGUGGGUGCUAACGUCCAUCGUCAAGAGGGAAACAACCCAGACCGCCAGCUAAGGUCCCAAAUGAUCAGUUAAGUGGUAAACGAAGUGGGAAGGCCUAGACAGCCAGGAUGUUGGCUUAGAAGCAGCCAUCAUUUAAAGAAAGCGUAAUAGCUCACUGGUCGAGUCGUCCUGCGCGGAAGAUGUAACGGGCUCAAACUGAUAACCG